rnacentral:rRNA from 1 species
AAGUAAAAGUCGUAACAAGGUUUCCGUAGGUGAACCUGCGGAAGGAUCAUUAUCGAGUUACUAUUGACUUUGAUGCUGGCCGCUUGCGGCAUGUGCUCGAGUCUUUAAAUCCACUCAACCACUGUGCACUAAUUCGAAAGCUUCGCGGUUCAGRCUCCUUCCUUCGGGGGGUCGAGUUCGGGCUUGCGGGGUUUUCGAGCUUCAUACAAACCACAUMUUGUCAUGUCGAAUGUAAUACUUUAUUAAAAAUACAACUUUCAACAACGGAUCUCUUGGCUCUCGCAUCGAUGAAGAACGCAGCGAAAUGCGAUAAGUAAUGUGAAUUGCAGAAUUCAGUGAAUCAUCGAAUCUUUGAACGCACCUUGCGCUCUUUGGUAUUCCGAAGAGCAUGCCUGUUUGAGUGUCAUGUAAUCAUCAAUCCGWCUUCGCUUUUUUGUGAAGCUCGGACUUGGAUUUGGAGGUUCUUGCUGGCUUUCCGUCGGCUCCUCUUGAAUGCAUUAGCUGGACUCCGUCGCGGUUCGCGGUGUGAUAACUUAUUCACCCUUGAACUUCGAAGUAAGACCGGCUUCUAAAACCCCUUUACUUUUGACCAUCUGGCCUCAAAUCAGGUAGGACUACCCGCUGAACUUAAGCAU